AAUAAUUUUAUAUUUUAAGGGGUUUGUCCGGAAGCUGUGUGUCGGAUUCAGGCCGACUUGACAUCAAGUAGCAAUGUCCGACUUUGUACCUGACAGGAACAGCCCGGCUUCUCCUAAACAAGACAUCUCAUUACUCCAGCAACAGCAGGACGGAUGUUCAGCAUCAUCUGCAUCGUCACAUUAACGUCUGACACCCGUCGUGCAGUGGGGCCAAUAAGCAGCGGACGCGGCUGGCGCCCGGCUGCAGGCAGCCCUCUCAAUGGUCUCUCCCACUAUGAAAGCGUUGGUGGAUGCUGUAUGGGCGGUGUGGAGCAUCGGAGCCUCCAUUUAUGACUACAUCCACACCAACGCCAUGGAGGAGCGCAUCCACGCCCUGGAGAACGUCAUCACCAUCCACCAGUGUGUGAUUGGGCUGCUGUCUGCAGGCGUAGUGGUACUCUUCUCCUACAUACUCUUCAAGAAGCUGUAAAGAUGUGUGAAGGUGUGGGGAAAGCAAACACUCACCAGACAGACAGGGGUUUUUUUCCCCUACAUGUUUGGUACAUUAGUCAGCUGGAGGGUAUAUCCAACACAUACCUGGGCACACUGUCUUUAUUCAAGGUGGUUGGAAGGUAAACGGCUGGUUGGUGGUCAAUAAGACAUUUUCCCCUAAAUUUGGGGGAAAACACAUUGAGGUUCAUGUCCUCUAUCAGUAAGAUAGUUGUUGUGGAGGAGGUGAGCAUGUGAAGCAAAAGGGUCCAGCUUUUUGUUAAAGGCGGGUAUAGAUAAUUUAUCUAUGGCGACAGAUUUUAUGUGGCAGUAUUCAGUAUCUUUUAGAUUAAAUUUUCAUGCAAUGCUUAAUUUUAAUGGCUUAACUGCCAAAUGAUUCUUCCCCAACACAUGAAAUUUAGCACAGGCACUCCAACAAUUAGCCAGUUUGCAAAUUUUUCAACAGCCCUAGUAGCUCAGUUUAUCAUCCAACACUACCAGAAUCCUCUACACACACUGUAGCCGCAGUGCGUGUCAGUACUACUUCAAACUCCAUUCACAUAGAGAAGUCUUCAGCUGACAUUAUGUGUCUGGAAUUGCCUCUUAAAACACAAUUCACUAAUUUUCUAAAGGGAUUAUUAUUGAAAAUAAUCAUUCGCCAAAACAACUUCUGCCUUAUAACACAUUGUUUUCACUCUCUUCAUCUUUUCUUGUUUGCACUAAUUUCCUCAAAGCCCGACUGAGAUACCAGGAGAAAGCGAAUUGCCCUGAAACUAGUGUCUGUGAAAAACAAUAAUUGGAGAGUGCCAAGGUACUUAAUCUCUCUCAGAGUGUAAUUACUGUAAAUGCAGUUAACUCAUAUCAUCUCCCCAAAUCUGGCCCCAUGGUUCUGAACAUGGCUUUCAAUGAAUAGAGACCAUGAAGUAAGCUGGCAACGCUUUUAAACUUUCCAUGAAGCAUUGUUCAUAUUGUCUUUGAGUAUCAGAUGAGUGAAAAGACAUUGUAAAAUCCCUUGUGAUACAAUUUUAUAGGUCUACAUGUGUAUCAUCUAUAUUAGAUCUUACAGUGCAACAUCAUGAUCCAUUUAUAUAAUGCUUUUUUCUAUGUUAUACCUCAUAGCUGUCAUAACACUGUAGGUGCCACCGCUGUAUUAAACUAUUUGAAGUGUCCUUAAAAAACUGUAAAUAUAUUUAGAUGUUUAUGAACAGUUUUUCAGCUGGUCAUUGAAACAUUUCAUAGAUGUGCAACUAUCCCAUAGUAUAACUGCUGCUUAAUAUUUAUUGUUUUGUUAUUUAAAGGCAACAUUUUGUACUAUGAAUGGUGGGAACUGAAAUGAGAUGCUACUUGAUACCGACUGCAAACAUUGGAUCAAUGUUUGAAAUGAGAAUUUUAGAGUGUGUUUUUGUCAUAGUAAUGUAAAUUAACUUCACUAACCUGCCUUUAGCUGUAGGUAGUCCUGAGUUUAGAAAAGAGUGUGUGUGUGUGUGUGUGUGUGUGUGUGUGUGUGUGUGUGUGUGUGUGUGUGUGUGUGUGUGUGUGUGUGUGUGUGUGUGUGUGUGUGUGUGUGUGUGUGUGUCUGUGUACAUUUUGUUAUGUCUCAGAGGGACCACAGCAGAGAAACAGAACCCCAGAAUGAAUAACUGUUUUAAUAUAACAGCAUCAAAGUUUGUAUCAAAUAAACGUGGAAUUCAAUUCAACUGGACAUCCUUACAGUACUACAUAUUUCCAACUUCAGUCUGGUAUCAAAUGCAGCACAAACUGUUGUAAAUGAAAAUGGAAAGUUGUUGUAUUACUGCCUAAAGCUGCAAAUCAUCAAAUCUAAAAAGAUUUCCCGUCAACACUGCUGGAACCUUUUUGAAGAAGAAUCAACAGGCCUUUUCCUGAUGGACAGAAAAACUGGCUUUCCAGUUGCAGGCAAUGAAACAAGUCAUGGAUGGACAUAGCACCAGUUUUCAACCGGACCGAGAGGAACGCCUGCUCUGAAACAUACUGCCUCUUAGUUGAUGAAAUGUCUACAGUUGUUGAACAUUGGCUGAACUUACAGGCCUUGAGCUAUGCUACUUUGGACCUCUUCGGAGCUACUCAUAAGUGCCCGGUCUGAAGUAGAGUAUAUCUGGAGGUGAAUCUCUCCACACUCUCCCCUUCCAGAAACUUCAUGGCUCUCCAGUGGAUCUUGCCACAGUUCUCUGGCUGUCCGAGGGGUCCCAGCUCCUCCUGGAUGUACUGCAGCCACAGAUCUGCAGGGAAAUAAAAACAGAAAACACUUUUACACUGAAAUUAAAGAAAAUAUCCUAAUUGACAGCUCUGUUUUUGGCCUAGAAACCAGACUAGUAGUUUGUGUGGGAUCCAGCCUCUGCUUAAUUUUUGAGUCUCUGUCCAAGAAUGUAUUUUCACACUCACCUCCAAAAUAGGUCUGAGCUAUAUCUGGUCAAAUAACUAUUGAAGUAUUUGGCAUCUUGGUAAUAUAGGUACCACAGCAUGCCAUUUUUUGUGCAGUUGUUUUGUUAGAUGGAAACCUGGAAUUUAGUCCUUGAUACUUGAAUAGCAGGAAUAAAUAUUUUGAACACUACUUUCCCUUCCUACUCUUGUUCCUUUAAAGGCAUAUAAAGUCUGCUCACCAUCAUCUGAGGUGCCAAACUCCUGCAGGGCCCGCUCGUAGUACUCUCUCAGACUGUUCAUCUUUGGCGUCUCCUGGAAGAACAAACACUGUUAUCACAGCUCAGAAUUGUCUUGCCUUAUCACUAAUACAAAUAAUAAAGUCUGCCGUCUGUC